UUCUUCCUCAGAUGCUCACCCCAGCCCCGCCUGCCCCGUUUACUGAGUGUCAACAGUUGGGUGAGCAAGACUUCUCAGCCCUUAGAUCAGUAUCCUGUGACCUUCCACAUUGAAGCACACACCAUUCAGCCAAGCCUUCCAGCUGUUGCCUGAAUGAUGAUUUUUUUUUUCUCAGAGUCGGGCACGGCUUAGGAAGACACUAGGCAACAGUUUUAAAUUAUGUCCUCGCCACCACCCAGCUCGCUGUGCAGAUCCUGCGGGGGCCUGUGCACAGCCGGGCCUGGUCUAGCCUGGUGAGGAGCUACGUGAGCCAACAGAUAUAUUUUGGGCGGAACUGAGCAGGCCUCGGAAGGAAAGCCAGCCUCUCUGCCCAGCUUCAGAGCCACGACUCUCAGCAGGCUAGCCCUCGUCUAGUUUUAGAGAGGACAGAGGGAACCUGCAUUGGUUCCCUGACUCUUACUGCAGUAAGGGCCUGAGGUCCUCUGCCCCACGUUUCCCUCUGGGCUCCAGACCUUGAGGGCUCUGGGAGAUUCCAGAAUGUCAGGGAAGCAGUUCUGCGUGGAUUCUCCUUUCUGGGCUGGUGUCUAGGCUCCAGCGACGGCAGAGGAGACUGAUGAAAUUUUACAGCCAGCCAACUGCUGCUGGUGUCAGAAGAUUAAAAACAAAGGUCGCACCGAGGCCUGCCUCCCACCGUGCGUCUCCAAGUCUGAGGGGUGGAGUGGGGGAGGAGGCAAAUGGCCCCAAAUAUUUCUCCGUUAAGUACAAAUUACAUACUGGAUAUAUAAAGUUGUAAUGGUGUAUUUUGAGUCUGACUGGUUUCAUGAGAACAUCCAUGUACCCUCCAAAAUGCUGAGACGGUGACACAGGCAAACAAAAAGGAAUUUAAUCCUGACGGAAUGUGUUUUGUUUGAAUUCGGGCACAGCUUCCUUUUAUUUUUUCCCCCUUCUCUUUUUUAUUCUGAGUUCCUCUUCCUCUCUUCUUUCCUCCCUGUAUCCAUCCCAUCAACCCCCACUUGAAUGCUACAAGCAGCAGAAUCCUCUGACAUUGUAUUUGUGGGUUAUUUAUCUUAUGGAGUUGGCCAGAAAGUGUAUAAACAAUUAGCUCAAUAAAACAAUUAGCUCCU
rnacentral:lncRNA from 1 species